CGCUGGCGGCGCGCCUAACACAUGCAAGUCGAACGAGCGAAGAGGAGCUUGCUUCUCUGAGCGAGUGGCGGACGGGUGAGUAACGCGUGAGCAACCUGCCCUUCAGAGGGGGAUAGUGUCUGGAAACGGACAGUAAUACCGCAUAAUGUACAUUGAUGGCAUCUUCGAUGUACCAAAGCUUUUGCGCUGAAGGAUGGGCUCGCGUCUGAUUAGAUAGUUGGUGGGGUAAUGGCCUACCAAGUCGACGAUCAGUAGCCGGACUGAGAGGUUGAACGGCCACAUUGGGACUGAGACACGGCCCAGACUCCUACGGGAGGCAGCAGUGGGGAAUAUUGCACAAUGGGCGCAAGCCUGAUGCAGCAACGCCGCGUGGAGGAAGACGGUUUUCGGAUUGUAAACUCCUGUUCUUAGUGAAGAAUAAUGACGGUAGCUAAGGAGCAAGCCACGGCUAACUACGUG
rnacentral:rRNA from 1 species